AGAGCGGCGCACGGGUGCGGAACACGUGUGCAACCUGCCUUUAUCUGGGGGAUAGCCUUUCGAAAGGAAGAUUAAUACCCCAUAAUAUGUUGGAUGGCAUCAUUCGACAUUGAAAAACUCCGGUGGAUAGAGAUGGGCACGCGCAGGAUUAGAUAGUUGGUGAGGUAACGGCUCACCAAGUCAACGAUCCUUAGGGGGCCUGAGAGGGUGAUCCCCCACACUGGUACUGAGACACGGACCAG
rnacentral:rRNA from 1 species